UUACGGCCACAUUAUGUUGAAACACCACUUCCCAUAUGAUAACCAAAGUGAAGCAACAUCAAGCCUAGCCAGUAUUUAGAUGGGUGACCACUUGGAAAUACCAGGUGCU